GACGAACGCUGGCGGCGUGCUUAACACAUGCAAGUCGAACGGAGUGGCGAACGGGUGAGUAACACGUGGGUGACCUGCCCUGCACUUCGGGAUAAGCCUGGGAAAAUGGGUCUAAUACCGGCGAGUGUGGGAUGGGCCCGCGGCCUAUGGGCUUGUCGGUGGGGUAAUGGCCUACCAAGGCGGCGACGGGUAGCCGGCCUGGGAGGGUGGACGGCCACAAUGGGCCUGAGGGAGGGCGCAGACUGCUACGGGAGGCAGUAGGGGGGAAUAUUGCGCAAUGGGCGGAAGUCUGAGGCAGCGACGCCGCGGGGGGGAUGACGGCCUUCGGGUUGUAAACUCCUUUCACCAUCGACGCGGUAGAUGGAGAAGAAGCACCGGCUAACUACGUGCCAGCCGCCGCGGUAAUAC
rnacentral:rRNA from 1 species